rnacentral:rRNA from 1 species
UACGGAGGGGGCGAGCGUUAUUCGGAAUUAUUGGGCGUAAAGGGCGCGUAGGCGGCUGUACAAGUCAAAGGUGAAAUCCCUCGGCUCAACUGAGGAACUGCCUUUGAAACAGUACGGCUUGAGGCCGGGAGGGGGUAGCGGAAUUCCCAGUGUAGCGGUGAAAUGCGUAGAUACUGGGAGGAACACCAGUGGCGAAGGCGGCUACCUGGACCGGUACUGACGCUGAGGUGCGAAAGCGUGGGGAGCAAACAGG